CAGUUCACUGAUUGAAUCCACAUCCAGUCACAUGAGCCCCAGCGAUGAGCGUCUCACCAAAGCAAACACAAGCAGCCACAGAGAAUGAGGCCUACAUGAGGAGGGGGAGUGAGAAAGCGUGAGCAGUAUAGAGGGAACAUCAACAGGAACCUUUACGAGCCAGACGUCGGGGCACAGGGGACACGACUGAUGCUAAUGUUUACGACAGAUGCUGCUCCUCCGGACACCCAUGUCAGCUGAAUCAAAGUCCAUCUAUGAUGCUGAGUCACCGUUCUUGCUCUCUGUCUCCUCAUACAUUUCAUGUUCAAAAUUCAACCAUUCAGGU